UGUUACAGCCACAGGACUCCUUCUGGGGGGCCUGGAUGGUAUCUGAGAGGCUUCCUUCGCAGCUGUGGUGUGGCCUGGGAUUCCAUCGGUUGUGUCUGCCCUUUUUCAGUACCUACAUGAAGAGCUUUUGGUGAAACAUAUCCAACUACUGGCUUCCCCUGUACGAACCACCCACUCAACUGUGAAUACCAGCCGUCCUGGCUCCAUGACCACUUCUGCCUCCAUGAUGACUGCUUCCUCCAUGACUCCUGCUUCCACCAUGACCAGCACUCCUUUCAUGGAAACCAGUAAGAUCCCCCCAUUCUAAAGUUUUCUUUAUCUGCCUAUGGAAUAUUUAUGUUCUCUCAUUUAAGUGUAG
rnacentral:lncRNA from 1 species